GAAGUUGGAGGAUGGCAGAGUAAAGGAAGGCCGCAUCUCAAGCUGCGCUGAAGUGUGGGACAAAAGCAGCCGGUGGACAGCUCCUCAGUGAGGCCUCAGAGUUUCCCACUGCCAUUGGAACUGAAGAAUGGAAGCUAAGUAACCCAGUGGGCACUUCCUUUCCCAACCUCUCUCCUUGUCAUAGGCCUUUGGCUAAUGCUUGUCCCCGCAUCAUUAGAUUUAUUCAAGACCAGAGUCAAAGGAUCCCUAACCAAACCAUGAACCAGCUUCUGUUACAGGACUUCCAACCCUCACCAAAAUUGGGCCAUCUGGAGUCAGCAUCGACCGGCACCUCUUGACCAUUCCCAUUGCCUCAGUGACACCCCGUUCCCCUAACAAGGGUCCAGAUGCUGCCCUUUCCCAGCAGGAAGAAACUAUAGAAGAUUGAUCUACGUCCCUGACCCUUAAGGGGCCCAAUAAAAAACAAAAAAGGAGGGAAUGUAAGGUCCUUGCUUAGCAUCCGGAUGGCCAUUUUAAGUGACAGCUGCCAUCUUAAGAAAGAGUUUAGCUUUCCCACCCAAGGGCAUUUCUGAGAAAGGCUUACCACUCCCUCAUACCAACCCAACCCUUUACCUCCUGCAUUAGGGCCCACCCAGCUCUAAUCCCUGAGCCUGCCCCAUAAAAGUCAUGGAACCCAAGUCUGUAUUUCCUCUCUCCAUCUAUGGAGAGAUGGCCUUUAUUUGUCAGCUCUGACAAAUAAACUCUCAUGUGUAAUCUC